rnacentral:rRNA from 1 species
UACGAAGGGGGCUAGCGUUGCUCGGAAUCACUGGGCGUAAAGCGCACGUAGGCGGACUCUUAAGUCGGGGGUGAAAUCCUGGAGCUCAACUCCAGAACUGCCUUUGAUACUGGCGAUCUUGAGUCCGGGAGAGGUGAGUGGAACUGCGAGUGUAGAGGUGAAAUUCGUAGAUAUUCGCAAGAACACCAGUGGCGAAGGCGGCUCACUGGCCCGGUACUGACGCUGAGGUGCGAAAGCGUGGGGAGCAAACAGG